GGAGACUUAUCAGGUAGUAAUUAACACAAAAAUAUAAAUUCCUGUGUGGGGGACCACCCCAAGUGUUGCUGUCUCCUCCCUCCUUGGACCCAGCUGCCUCAGGCACGGUCUCAGGACAGCGUCUGCUCCUCCGCAUGGUCCGGGCACCUUGCUCUGGCUCCGAGCGAGUCUCACUGCAUGGCUCUUGCGCGCAUUUAGGGCAGCAGAGCUGAGGUGGCAGGGAGGCUUCAGAUGAGUCUGGGAAAACGGAGUCUGCGCGUCUCACUGGGCUUUCGGGCCAGCAGCGGUGGCCCCUCUGCCACCUGUGAGAAAGUCACUUCUCCUGGCCCAGGACACAGCGGUGAGCGGCCCCGCAGCCCUUGGCGAGAGGUACAGGUCCUCAGCCCCGUGGUUUAUUUCUACCCCCUGCCUCUUCUCACACACGCAGUGGCCCAGCACAGCACCGUGCAGGAAGUCAAAACCCAAAACUAACACAGCAGACUGCGGUAAGUCCCAGCUGGGCGCCCUCAUGAGUGCGCUGCUGUGAAACACGGCCUUCGGUGCUGCAGGCAUUCGUGUCUGCCGGGUAUGUAUUUAUACACCCGGAGAGGAAUUGCUGGGUUACGGGGUGUUUAAAUUUAGCGUUGCUGAACAUUUUCCCAAAAUAAUUGUAUCUGUUUAUACUCCUGCUAGCAACGCACGAGCCCUUCAGCUGUCAGCACCCUGGCCAGUGCUGGGCACCGUCAGUCACGCAAAUUCUGGUCAUUUUCGCACGCGGGUACUGGUAUCUCAGCUUGGUUUUAACUUUCGUUUGUCUGAUAAGCAAUGAUUUUGCCAGCGGAUGGGCACGGGUCUCCCAGGGCUUUCCCCUUUCACAGCCUCGGUAGACUCUGGGGUGUCUGAGCCCUGAACCCCAGGGCUCAACACUCCAUCAGGGCACCUCUGAGAGGAUGAAUCAAGGACUUCAAUUCGGACAAGAUCUGAGGAAGGAACGUUUAGACUCCGAACCUGGUUCUAAUUUGGAAAUAAGAGGACAGUUGCAGCUAGAAUUUUCCAGUUGAAAACAUUUAUACAAGAUGUGAAGAAAAGGGAGACAGGGCUAGGGAUUUAGCUCAGUGGCACAGCGCCUGCCUGGCAAGCUUGAGGUCAUAAGUUCAAUUCCUGGUACCGGAAAAAAAAAACCAAAAAAAAAAAAAAGAAAAGGGAGCCAGCCGCACGCGGACAGCGGGAGGUGCCUGUGGAUUUACUACCUGAUGGCGUCGGAGCCAUGGGCAGGAUCAGGCUCAGCUCGCAAAAGGGGGGCUGUCUUUGCUUCCGGAAAACCUGUCUCCUUCAGACUUCCUGGAGCCUCCCUUCCCUGGCACUCACCUGCUGCUAAAUCGCUUUCUGGGUCCCGGGAGUCCAAAGAGAAGCAGCUUCAGGAACCAGGAAGCAGCGGAGAGAUUUCCCUCUUCUCACCUUGAAAUGAUAUGGUGGGGCUGUCCGGGGGAAGGCCCUGGCCAGAGGAAAGACGGGCCACAGCGGCAGAGUAAGGGGCUGCCCGCCAGGGCCCGGCCAGAAAAUACAGUCGCAGGAAGAAGACAGGAUUCGGGCAGCCUUGGGGUGGGAUGGGCGCAGGCACUCCAGAGUUUGCGUCUUUCUUUUCUUCUCUUUCCUAGCAGGCACUGCUAUGGGGCUUACAACUGCUACUGGGCAAGGGAGGCCAGAACUGCGGUCCUCUCUGCCUGCGUAGGGGCAUCGCUGUGCUUUUGCUGUUCAGCCUGCUUCCAGAGAGGUUCUCUGGAGGGAUGGAGGUGGAAGAGAGGGACAAGCUGUCCGGUCAGAGGACGCAGACGCGAGCACAAGCAGGGCGGGAAGCAGAGUGUGUGCCCUACCCUUGUGGAGAGAGCCGCCUGCUGAGCUAGAGAUCUGGAAGCUGUUUCUCUGGCCAGUGCCUCAUUUCCCAAGAGAAGUAAAGGAAGCCAGUGGAAGUUAAAGGUCAAAAGCGUCUGUUCGGGGAGGUGGAGGUUUGGAGGACGCAGCUCUGUGAAUGACCCGUCCACUCACCCCGGACUCUGCGAGGGUGGGAAGGUGGGCACUGGGUAAGGCAAGUGGUGGAUGAGGGGAGGAGGGCGCUGGAUGACCAGCUUCCUGAGUCAGUCUUUGCCAGGGGUCCUAACUCGUGUGAGUGUCUAACAUGAGGCUUCACAACCAGCGGCGUGCUGUAGCUGACACCGCGUAAACCCAGAGACGCAAGAAAAAAAUGUGACUUCUUCUGCUGCGACUAAUCUGGCUUAGCCAUUAAACUCUUGUUUUCACUGAUGACGGGGGCAUGGGGAAGGAUGGGGAUACCAAUUUAAGUCUGCCAAAUAUUGCUAUGUCUGCUUCAUUUCCUUUUCAAAGGGUCUCUUUUGGAGAGCGCCCUGUGGGAUUCCAUUUAUGUGAACGUCUAGUACAGGCAGAAGUGAACUGAUGGUGACGGUGGUCAGAACUGGGGCUGCCUCUGAGGGUGAUAGUGUGGGAGGGGCAGGAAGGAACCUUCUGGGGUGCAGGGGACGCAGCAGUCUUGACCUGGAGGGCAGGUGCUGGAGUGGUGCAUAGUUAAAGCUCAAUGACUUGAACACAGGACCUGUCCACUUUGCACCUAUUUGCACAUAUUACCACUUAAUUUAAGCCUUAAUGUAAAAAUCAACAAAAAGAAAAACAGUUAAAGGUCUCUCGGAGGUGACUAUCCGGUCCACAUGAAGCUCAAUGCUUCUUCUCGGGGCCCUCUCCCUGCUUUCCAGGAGUCUCCGGAAGUGGAGCUUAGGGUGCAGCCCCUUCCUGUCUCCUUGCGUAGCAUUGGGUAAGUGUCUUCCAAAGCGCCAUGUGUGUAGGGCUUAGUCCUCAGCAUGGCACAUGGGGAGAUGUGGAAACUUUAAGAGAUGGCACCUAUGCAGUGGUGCCACUGGGAACAUGACCUUGGUAUAGGGCAUAGUGAGACCCUCUCCCUCCCAUCCUUUCUUCCUGGCCCCUGUGAAGUGAGGAGCUUUGCUCCACCAUGUGUCCUUACCAUGGGUCCAAAGCAACAGCACCAGUCCACCAUGGACUGACACCUCCAAAACUGUAAGCCAAAAUCAACCCUUUCCCUUUAUAAAUUACCUCAGUAGUUGGAAAUAAAAGAAAGCUUACUAACAUACUCCUAACCAGAUUGUCUGGUCCCACCCGAGUCCUAUAUAGAAAUUCUGCAAGCAUCACUGUUGAAAAGUACCUAGAAUACUGUUACGGUCUGGGUCGGGAGGGUCCCCCAAAGGGUUGCGCUGUGAAAGUUUGGCAGGACUCUUAGAAGACGGCUACAGCACAAGAGCUCCACUUUCAGCAGCUGACUAACGCUUUGAUGGACUCGUAAGUUGAUGGCAUCGUUAGGAAGUGGUGGACACUUGAGAGGUGGAGCCUUGUUGAAGGGAGAGGGUUACGGGGGUGUGCCUGGGGGAGAAGAUUUUGUCCUUAUUCCCUUCCUCCUGGGCUCUCUCUCUUUCCACUUCCCGGCUGUCACAAGUGAGAAGCUCUGCUCUGUCAGGCCCUCCCACCACAUGUUUUUGCCUCACCACAGAUCUAAAAGCAAUAGAAUCAGCUGACCCAGGACUUCUGAAACCAUGAGCACAGCUGUGACAUUCACCGUUUGGGAGUACACGUGGCACUCACAUCAUCGUCUCUUUAAAAUCACGCAAAACACACAACUGUGGCCUGGAACAGGAGGCUGGUGCUGAGCAGCGGCUGGGCCUUGGAGUGACGGGCAGUCCUGGCGGGUGAGCCUCAGAGUGCACGCUGUGUCCCAGCAAGGGUCCGCAGACCUGGAAUGUUCCAGAAGGGACUGGUGGGCCAGGAGGACUGACUUGCCACGGGGUUUUCAUGGGUUCCACAGGGGGCGGCCAUCUUUGUUCCGUAUGGAGUCUGCCUUAGCCCUGUACUCAUGGGGUGCUCUCAGAAGGGCCAAUGAUCAGUCUGUUAGCCUCUCGUUAGCCCCUAAAGGAAUUUGUAUGAGGCAAGGAGGUGAAGGAAGAAGCCCCAUUAAAAUACAAAACACGCUUGGGCCAGUGGACUAGAAUAGAGGACCCAGAAAUAAACCCAUGCAGCUACCGCCAUCUGGUUCUUGACAAAAGUGCCAAAACGUAUAUUGGAAGAAGACAGCCUCUUCCCCAGAUGGUGCUGGGAAACUACGCAUCCACACAUAGAAGGUUAAGAUGAGAUCUCUCUCUUUCCCAUCUCUCUUUCCCAUCUCUCUUUCCACGAAUUCACCUCAAAAUGGACCAAAGGCCUACAUAUAAGACCUGAAACUCCGAAGCUGCUAGGAAAAAACAUAAGGAAAACACUUCAAGAUAUACGCACAGGCAGUGACUUCCUGAAUUGGACUCCAGUAGCUCAAGAAAUGAUAGCAAGCAUCUAUAAAUGGGAUUGCACCAAAGUAAAAACUUCUGCACAGCAAAGGAAGCACAAAGAAGGAAGGGACAGCCCGGAGGUUAGGA